GGGACGGGCUGAAGGGGUAUGUAUCUACCUUUAACCCCCACCCCCGUCCCCCCCACCUCCCCUAAGAAGUCAAGUGGUGGAUUAAUCGGGGGCGUUCAUUUGGAGUGAUGCCAAUUGAGAGAGCAUGGGAGAGAAGAGGCGGACACAAAGAGGAGAGAGAGAUAGAGAGAAAGAGAGAGAGAGAGAGAGAGAGAGAGAGAGAGAGAGAGAGAGAGAGAGAGAGAGAGAGAGAGAGAGAGAGAGAGAAAAUGCUAACUCAAGGAUUUCAAAAGCAGGUAGAAAUUAGAGAAAUGCUACGCACAGCAGCAGUUAUCUCUACUGCACACACCAACUCUAAGACUGCAUCCUUACACAGGACCAGAGGCCUCUCAGUCUCUGUCACUGUACCAAGUUCUCUCUCUCUCGCUCUACCUAUCUCUCUCUCUCUCUCUUUCUUUCUCUCCCUCUCUAUCACGGUCUCUCUCCGUCUCCCUCUCUGUCCCUCUCUCUCACCUGGUGCACUCACUCCGUGGGAAAGAAUUUUCUCUCUCUCUCCCUCUCGCAAUCACUAUCUCUCUCUCUUGCUCUUCCUCUGCCUCACCCGGUGCGCUCGCUCACUGGCAGGGAAUUCUCUCUCUCUCUCUCUCUCUCUCUCUCUCUCUCUCUCUCUCUCUCUCUCUCUCUCUCUCUCUCUCUCUCUCUCUCUCUCUCUCUCUCUCUCUCUCUCGCCGUCUCUCACACACACUCUCUGGCUUACUCGCUCUCUCGUUCACGCUCUCUUCCUCCCUUUGUGUGUCUCUGUGGUGCGCUCUCGUUCUCUCAGUGUUCAUCUUGCUCCUAUCCUGAUAACAAUCAUUCAAAGUCAGGCGGUGGGACAGGACGGACAGCGCAGCCCCGCACUCCUCUUGGCAGCCUGCCGGUGCACUUCCCGGCCGUGAGCGGGUCCUACAUGGACUCCCCGUACAACGGCAACGCGUCGCUGCAGACGUCCACCUCCAACCUGAACGCUGUGCCAGGGUCCCGGCCCCCCGAGGCGGAGGACGACGGCAAGGUGUCCAGCGACACCAUCUGGCUGUGGGUCGCCGUGCUCGCCACCAUCGGCAACAUCGUGGUGGUGGCGGUGGUGUGCGCCUGUGCCUUCUAGAGAUGACGCACGGUGGGGGGGGGGGGGGGGGGGGCUGAGAGACAGAGCCUACGGUGGUGGAUGGAGGAGGAGGAGAUGGUCCCCAUAAAACAAAGUGUCUCCAGCUUUUGGAUCAUUCAUCAUUUGGAUGGAGAAAAAAAAGAGCCGGUGUUAUUCUAAGCCUGUUCACCGUGUUAUCUUUGGUCAAGAAUGAAAACAUGGACGUACGAUGUAAAUACCGAAGUUAAAUAAAACAAUGUAUGGAGUUAUGAGGUGUUUGUGCAGGCGCCCGUGUGUGUCACGUGGCAAGCAUAUAGCGACAGAUUUGUAUGAUGCGGCGCAUGGCCUGCUUUGAAAACCACACAAAACCGUUUAUCCAAACCUUUACACCUGAUGUCAGACAAAUUGCGUAAUGAACCGAGCAUGCUGCACAACAUUCAAAUUAUUGUACACUAAAGGAGAAAAACAACAUUCAGAAUCAUCAAAUGACCAGAUGAGGUGACCAUACAUUUGGAAUCACUUCCUAACCAAAUGAUUAUGGCCACUUCAUCUCCUCAUUCUCAGCCUUUUUAUGCUGCACUGAUUUUGGGAAAGCUAGCAUUUUAACAUUAUUUUGUUUGUUUUUUCUUUUAAAUAAAAAAUGACUGAACGAUGAGUUUGUCACCACACAUCUCAUCACUUGAGUCACCGUUCUUCCCAAAUGGGACAAUUUCUAUUUCGAGGAAGAUUAAUGAAGUGCAUUAUAAAUACGGAAACCUCUCAUGGUCCGCCAGACAGAAAGGCUUGCCAUGGACUGCAGCAGGACUCAUCUUCUUAGGGCCUAAUGUGGCCGGACUGGCCUAGACUCCCUCUAAUAAGUAGCACUCCCAGCAGGGCAAAGACUCAAUCAUACCACUUUGGGUGAUGAAUAAGAGGAAGACAUAUACAGGAGUUGCCAUCCCAUCAACCUCAAAGUUGCCAGUGGUCAGUUUGGUUACGCAAUGCCAGCCUGUCUGGCUUACAUAAAACCUAUUCAGCCCUGGGUGAACAACGCCAUGAUCAACCGAGGUCAGUGUUAAGGAUUACGGACAAGAUCCUCUGGUGAGGUCAGCUAAGCAAGAGGAGUGUCUUCAUCUGAGUAUCUGGGACUGUUGUUGCAGUGUGUGGGUGUGGGUGAUCCCUGUCCAAUUCAAUCGUCUGAUGCAUGGCAGAGUAGCCAUAUUUUACUUCCUGUCCUUGAACUUUGAAUGAGAUACAGGAGCCCGACAGAUGUUGGAGUGUUCCAUUUCCAACGAUGUCUAUCCCUUUUUUUAGGGUUAGGGUUAAUUUUCCUUGACAAUCAUGUCUUUGACAGCAGUUGAGAGGAAUCUGAGGAGCAUUAUGCACAUAAAAGAAGAUGUGUGACUCUACAAUAUGUUAUCCAACAUAAGCAUAGCGCAAUUGCUCUCAUGUGUAGAGCAGCAGUACAGAGGGGUCAACACUGCUGGGACAGACACUCCAUUAAUAACUACAUAUAUAUAUACACUGUAGGCCUACUAUAUUUAUCAUGAUUGACAGCCCUUAUUUUGUUUCCACAGGGAAAAAUGGGAAAUAGCUUCAGUUUUACUACGUGUGUGUGUGUGUGUGUGUGUGCGUGCGUGCGUGCGUGCGUGCGUGCAUGCGUGUGAGUGUGUGUGUGUGUGUGUGUGUGUGUGUGCAUUAACUUGUUGUUACGUGUGUGUAUGUGUAUAUGUUUGUACGUAUUUGAGUAUGCGUGUGUGUGAUUGUGUGUGAUAGUGUGUGUGUGUGCAUGCUUGUGUGUGUUUACCGGUAUACCGCUGUACAUACUUGCGAAUGUCAGUCUGUGCAUGCGUGUGUGCGUUUGUGUGUGACUCACACAAACGCACACGUCAGCCCUCUGGAUUAUAAUGAUUGUCUUUUUCUCUCCACCCUCCAUAAAUCCUUCUGCCUAGCCGCCUCUCUUUAACGAGAGACCUGUCCUCCUCGUUCAUUACUGCUGCAGACAGGGAGCAUCGUGGUUCCAGGAGCUCACUUAGUUUCUGGAACAAUGUCCAUGCUACACUCCACCUAGCUGGCUGCCUCCCUCCACUAGCCCUCUGCCUCCCUCCACUAGCCCUCUGCCUCCCUCCACUAGCCCUCUGCCUCCCUCCACUAGCCCUCUGCCUCCCUCCACUAGCCCUCUGCCUCCCUCCACUAGCUGGCUGCCUCCCUCCACUAGCUGGCUGCCUCCCUCCACUAGCCCUCUGCCUCCCUCCACUAGCCCUCUGCCUCCCUCCACUAGCUGGCUGCCUCCCUCCACUAGGUGGCUACCUCCCUCCACCUAGGUAGCUUUCACAGGGCUCCUCCAUAGCAUGGACCAGUCUACUACAUAGUUUGAGUAUAAUGAUGCCGAGCAGGAGGUGAAACAUGCUUCAAUGCCCGAGAUCUCUCCCAGAGUGUGUUUGGUGAUAACUUGUGCACAUUGAUUGCUCAGUGCGUAACAGGUGUGCAGCCUCCCCCAGCCCAAGAGUCCAAUCAGUCUUGCUCGGGCCAGGUGAGGCUGCUUAAAAACCAGCCAUCAACCACACACACCCUACAGUUUCCCUUUGAAUUAAAUGUAGGUUCAACAUGAGAGCUAUCACAGCUACGUUUUUCAAUAAAAGAGAAAGUAGUCGUAGGAAGGAAAGCCAGGAGCAAGGAGAAAAUAGGUGGAGGUAUAGAAUAAAGAUGCAAUAUAAAGACAAUGGGGUGGAGGAGGAGGAGGAGGAGGAGGAGGAGGAGGAGGAGGAGGAGGAGGAGGAGGAGGAGAUGAGCUAGAUAGUAAGGAAUUUAGGAUGACUAAAAAGAGGAGAUAAGAAGACAAAAAAAGUCUAGACGCAGAGACAAAGAGACUCCUUAGAGAUGCAAGACAAUUGCAGUAGAAAGGAGAGAGAGAGAGAGAGAGAGAGAGAGAGAGAGAGAGAGAGAGAGAGAGAGAGAUUAUAUUAACCAGAAAAAUAGGUACAAUGAUAAAAACAACAUUCUCCUUGUACUGUGGACAUAUCGUUUAUCUGGACCCUAUAGGACCUCAGUCACAUGGACCAGGCUGACAGGAGGACAUGUACAACACAGCUGUGUUCUUCAUGAAGAAGACAUCUAUUAGUGUUUGAAGCGCUAUUCUUGGAUUAAACUUCUUCAGGCCUUCCAUUGACAAGGGAUUUUGUUUGUUGAUUUCUAUAUCUUGGAUUAAAUAAAACAUCAUGAACACUAUGUGAUAACUGAAGGAUGUUUAAGCUGAACAAGACUGGAGGAAGAGGAGUAGGAAGCAGAGAAGAAGGACUGAUGGAAAGGAUGGGCGACCUAUCUGGACAAAUACCUAUGUUGUACAUAGAUUGAAAGAUGGAAGAUAAAAUGGUGAAAGGAUGCUCUCAUAUAGAGAUCAAUGGUUGAUGAAAGCAACAAAUGGAUGAGGGAUACAAGUCACAAAAAAAGGCAUUCAUUAACUUAAGCAGGAAGUAUUAUUAAUGCAUUAAUAAAUUAUUAAGAAUUCGCGGAAAAGUUGACUAAAUAAAAGGAAAGAGUGGAAAUGACUUUCACUUUGGAGUUAGCCUAUUAAAUGGUGCAGUGAUGUGUCCGGAGGGGGGCAAAGGAGGCAGUGGGGAAUGUAAACUCCUUUGAAAAUAACUGAAACAAAAAAAUUAAAUUCCAAAACCGAAUGAAAGAAAAUGUAUACAUGCAAGGCAUUACUUACAAUCUGUUAAAGUUGUACAGGCAUGCAAUAUAUGAAACAACCAGUUACAGGCCAACGACAGAACAGGUAGUUUGUCCAUAUUACCCAAAACACCCCAUAAGAUUGUCAAUUCAGUUUGAUUCCCAGUGAAAAAUGCUAUAUUUUAAUAGUCUAGAUAUUGAAAAUGUGAACAUUUUAAAUUUCAGUUCAUUUUCCUAAUCUUCCUUUAGGACAUUGUGAGUUUGUUGUUUUAUCAAGGUUUUAUUUAGUUGCAAUGGUGAUUGAUAUGGAGGCUCCUGGGACCAUGCACUUUGUAUGUUUUUAAGGUCAGUGUCUUUGCAUUGUGAUGUCAAUAGUUAUUUCAUGUAACUGAUGAUAUUCUUCAGAUAAAAAGGUAGAUUUUCGAGUUACAAUGGGAUGAGAUUUAAUCUUCUUUAGUACGGAAAAGGCUGACGUGUUUUUGUGAGUAAUCUAUGAAUUAAUGUUUGCUUUGUUCAUUAGGGUUCAUUAUAUCAAUAUAUAUAUAUACAAAUACAAAAAGAAGAAAAAAAAGAACACCGCUUUAAAAUACUUUUUAAGCGUGAAUGCCAUUAAUAAAGUAAAUACGAUUUUCAAGAGUAACACUUUUUGAAUGAUCAACAGGGUGUCAUAGACCUACAGAAAGUGAUGCAAACACACCAUUCACUUUGUACGUAUGGCUCAUCAGGGUUAGGUUUAGCCACUCUGUAUCAUUACAUGCAUGGAUAAUAUGCGAUUCCUGUUUUCUCAUGUGAUGUUCUAGGACCCGUGAUCAAUCAUAGGACUCCAAGCCCCUGACAAAUACACCACUUUAGCUUUACAACUUUCCAACAUUAUGUUAUGGUAUGUUAUUUAUACAAAACAAUUAAGUAUCAUUAACAAAUUGUGGUAAUUUUUUCUCAAAUUCUUUGGACAUUAUUUCCUUGUUUUUAAAUAACCAACUGAACAGGUUUGCACCUGAUCCAUAAUAUACCACUUUGUGCAUGCUUAUUUUAUAGUUUACUAUGCUUUAUUAGGAAAAAAAAACGGUCAAUUAUUUUUUCUGUUCUGUGUACCAAAAUGUUCCUAAUAAAUUCUCC
ensembl:lncRNA